GGAAUCUUCCACAAUGGACGAAAGCCUGAUGGAGCAACGCCGCGUGUGUGAUGAAGGGUUUCGGCUCGUAAAACACUGUUGUAAGAGAAGAAUGACAUUGAGAGUAACUGUUCAAUGUGUGACGGUAUCUUACCAGAAAGGAACGGCUAAAUACGUGCCAA
rnacentral:rRNA from 1 species